UAAUUUAGAUAAUUUUUUGCUAAUCAUAUUCCAUGUGUAUAGACUAUGUAAAAAAAUUCCAUUUUGAUAUGUGGUGUAAUUGAGUUUUUAGUCAAUAUAUAAAUGUAAAUUAUAUUUAAUAUGCUUGUUCUAUAAAUAUUAAUAUUAUAAACUAUGUAUAUUUCUAGAUGAAUUAUAUUCACUUUUUAUUUGUAUAAGUAUUUUUUUUCAUAUAUCUUUAUGACAUGUGACAUAAGAUGGAAUUUUAAGCAAUUUAUAAAAAACCUACAAUGUUAUUCAAUUUAAAUUAUAAUUUUUUUGUAAUUUAUUUUUUUAUUAAGUGAAAUUAGUCGAUUUUUUAUUUUAUCAUUGGAUACCAAUAAAAUAAUAUUUCAAAAAAUAAGAUC
rnacentral:lncRNA from 1 species